CUACGGGGUGCUCCAGUGAGGAAUAUUGCACAAUGGGGGAAACCCUGAUGCAGCAACGCCGCGUGGAGGAUGACGCAUUUCGGUGUGUAACUCCUUUUAUCAGAGAAGAAAAUGACGGUAUCUGAUGAAUAAGCUCCGGCUAACUCCGUGCCAGCAGCCGCGGUAAUACGGAGGGAGCAAGCGUUAUGCGGAAUCACUGGGCGUAAAGGACGCGUAGGCGGGUUUUUAAGUCAGGUGUGAAAUCCUAUGGCUCAACCAUAGAACUGCACUUGAAACUGGGGACCUAGAGUAUGGAAGGGGCAGGUGGAAUGAGUGGUGUAGGGGUAAAAUCCGUAGAUAUCACUAGGAAUACCGAAAGCGAAGGCGACCUGCUGGGACAUUACUGACGCUGAGGCGUGAAAGCGUGGGGAGCAAACAGGAUUAGAUACCCUUGUAGUC
rnacentral:rRNA from 1 species